GUUUUUUGUUGUUUUUGG
rnacentral:sRNA from 1 species